CGAACGGGUGAGUAACGCGUAGGAAUCUGCCUGAUAGUGGGGGAUAGCCCGGGGAAACCCGGAUUAAUACCGUAUACCUCCUUCGGGAGAAAGAAGGCCUCUCUUUGAAGCUUUCGCUACUAGAUGAGCCUGCGUAAGAUUAGCUUGUUGGUGAGGUAAAGGCUCACCAAGGCGACGAUCUUUAGCUGGUCUGAGAGGAUGAUCAGCCACACUGGAACUGAGACACGGUCCAGACUCC
rnacentral:rRNA from 1 species